GGCUCUGAUCAUGGCUCAGACUGAACGCUGGCGGGAUGCUUUACACAUGCAAGUCGAACGGCAGCACGGACUUCGGUCUGGUGGCGAGUGGCGAACGCGACGGCUACAUCGGAACCGCUCAGUAGCGGGGAUAACUACGCGAAAGGGGGUAGCUAAUACCGCAUACGCCCUUCGGGGAAAGCGGGGGGACCUUCGGGCCUCGCACUAUUAGAGCGGCCGAUAUCGGAUUAGCUAGUUGGUGGGCAGGCUCACCAAGGCGACGAUCCGUAGCUGGUUUGAGAGACUGACCGCACACACUGGGACCGGAGACAUUUGCCCAGACUACGGGAGGCAGCAGUGGGGAAUGGAUAAUGGGGGAAACCUGAUCCAGCCAUCCCGCGUGUGCGAUGAAGGCCUUCGGGUUGUAAAGCACUUUUGCAGGAAAGAAACGCACGGCACACCCUGCGCAACUGACGGUACCUGCAGAAUAAGCACCGGCUAACUAUGCCAGCAGCCGCAGUAAUACGUAGGUGCCGUUAAUCGGAAUUACUACGAAGCGUGCCAAGGCGGUUCGAAAAAGCAGGAUGUGAAAUCCCAGAGCUUAACUUUGAACCGCAUUUUUAACUACCGAGCUAGAGGUACGAGGAGGUGGAAUUCCGCGUAGCAGAAAUGCAGAUACGCGGAGGAACACCGAUGGCGAAGGCAGCCUCCUGAUAACACUGACGCUCAUGCACGAAAGCGUGGGGAGCAAACAGGAUUAGAUACUCCUGGCAGUCCACGCCCCAAACGAUGUCAACUAGCUGCUGGGGCCUUCGGGCUCUUGGCAGCGCAGCUAACGCGUGAAGUUGACCGCCUGGGAGUACGGUCGCAAGAUUAAACCCAAAGGAAUUGACGGGACCCGCACAAGCGGUGGAUGAUGUGGAUUAAUUCGAUGCAACGCGAAAACCUUACCUACCCUUGACAUGUCUGGAAUCCCGAAGAGAUUUGGGAGUGCUCGCAAGAGAACUGGAACACAGGUGCUGUACGGCUGUCGUCAGCUCGUGUCGAGACGUCAGUUAAGUCCGCAACGAGCGCAACCCUUGUCAUUAGUUGCUACGUAGCACACCUUUAAUGAGACUGCUGCGGAUGCCAAACCGGAGGAAGGUGGGAUGACGUCAAGUCCGCGGCCCUUAGGUAGGGCCACAUCGUCAUACAAUGGUCGGGACAGAGGGUCGCCAACCCGCGAGGGGGAGCCAAUCCCAGAAACCCGAUCGUAGUCCGGAUCGCAGUCUGUGCGUUCCGACCGCGUGGAAGUCAAUCGCUAGUAAUCGUGGAUCAUAAUGCAUGUAACAUGUUCCGGUCUUGUACACACUGCCCGUCACACCAUGGGAGUGGGUUUUACCAGAAGUAGUUAGCCUGGGUUCAGUAAGGAGGGCGAUUACCACAGUAGGGAUUCAUGACUUGGGUGAAGUCGUAACAAGGUAG
rnacentral:rRNA from 1 species